rnacentral:rRNA from 1 species
CUCAAGAUGAGUGCUCUCACUACAUAAGUAGGUAAGGUCACCUGUAGAACACAGGUUCAUAGGCGGUAGGGGGAAGUGCAGUAAUGUAUGUAGCCGAGCCGUGCUAACAGACCGAGGGCUUGACCUC